UACGUAGGGUGCAAGCGUUGUCCGGAAUUAUUGGGCGUAAAGAGCUCGUAGGCGGCUUGUCGCGUCGUCCGUGAAAACCCAGGGGCUCAACCCCUGGCUUGCGGUCGAUACGGGCAGGCUAGAGUUCGGUAGGGGAGACUGGAAUUCCUGGUGUAGCGGUGAAAUGCGCAGAUAUCAGGAGGAACACCGAUGGCGAAGGCAGGUCUCUGGGCAUUAACUGACGCUGAGGAGCGAAAGCAUGGGGAGCGAACAGG
rnacentral:rRNA from 1 species